rnacentral:rRNA from 1 species
AACGAACGCUGGCGGCAGGCUUAACACAUGCAAGUCGAGCGCCCCGCAAGGGGAGCGGCAGACGGGUGAGUAACGCGUGGGAAUCUACCCUUUUCUACGGAAUAACGCAGGGAAACUUGUGCUAAUACCGUAUGUGUCCUUCGGGAGAAAGAUUUAUCGGGAAAGGAUGAGCCCGCGUUGGAUUAGCUAGUUGGUGGGGUAAAGGCCUACCAAGGCGACGAUCCAUAGCUGGUCUGAGAGGAUGAUCAGCCACAUUGGGACUGAGACACGGCCCAAACUCCUACGGGAGGCAGCAGUGGGGAAUAUUGGACAAUGGGCGCAAGCCUGAUCCAGCCAUGCCGCGUGAGUGAUGAAGGCCCUAGGGUUGUAAAGCUCUUUCACCGGAGAAGAUAAUGACG